UCUUACGGAUGAACAAAGAAAGUGGUUUCUUGAGAUGGAAUCUACUCCUGUGGAGGUGCAGUGAA
rnacentral:pre_miRNA from 3 species